AUUAUGAGAGAAAGAUCAAACACAGAGGCAAUUUCAAAAUAUAUAAAAAUUAUACUCCGUGGUGAUAUAUUGUGUGUCCUAAUAAAGCUUGCCUGAGGAUCAGAAGACAGAGCCAGCCACUAGAUUAGACACAGAGGCCAGACAGUGGUGGCACACACUCUUAAUCCUAUCACUCCACAGGCAGAGAUCCACUUGGAUCUCUGUGAGUUCAAGGCAACACUGGAAAUAGAGCCAGGCAGUGGUGGCAAACACCUUUAAUCCCAAUACUGGGAAGCACACAUGCCUUUAAUCCCAGGAAGUGACAACAGGGUGGAGAAAGGUAUAUAAAGCACAAGGAAACAGGAACUACAGCAGUUCACCUGAGACCCUUUUGGGUGAGGACUCAGAGGCUUUCAGUCUGAGGAUUUGUGGAAAGAGGAUUGGCUGAGAAGUUGGCAAAGUGAGGUUGGCUGUGCCUUGCUCUGCUUCUCUGAUCUUUCAACUUUCACCCCAAUAUCUGACUCCGGGUUUUUUAUUAAAAGACCUUCUAAGAUUCAUGUUAUAGUAGCCAAGCAAGCUGUGGAGUGUUGAGAAAGACAACAGGGGAUACCAGAGAGAAGACAAUGUAGAUGGAGUUUAAUACUUGGCAGAGAUAUUAAGUUAAUCUUAUCAAAAUACUAUAGGUAUUAUUUUGGGAAAUAGAGAAAGUAACCCUAAAAGGCACAGAACCUGAAGAAACUACAAAAUGUUCCAAAAACUCUGUGUGCAGGACAAACCAAGAGGUUUCUAUGGUUCUAACUAAAUACUGUAAAAAAUUAUAGUAAUGAAACUAUAUAAUAUUGGUUUAAACCCAUAAGCAGCAAUGUAAAUGAAGAACAGACAGCAUCACUCCCAUGCACAGUCAAAAAAAUUGUAUUUGCCUCUGAGUACUAAUAAUUAUUGAUAAUUCAAACACCUACAAUAAGAUAAUCCUGAGAUUUUAUUCAUCAGAAUUCACUGAAAUUGUUUAUAAUGAAAUAGAAUUUGGCAAAACCAACUUCAUUUACUGUUUCUACUGUCACUUCAGCCCUUCCCCAUCCCUUCACCCCUUCCUCAAACCCUCUAGCACACCUGAAUCCUUUGCUACUGUCUCCUCUCUCUUCUCCAUCCAGGGUUCUUUGUUCUGAUUCACAGGUGAGCAGGACUCACUGAGCAAUGUGAGCCCUGCACAGGAGAAAGAGAUUCUUCAGAAGUCACCUAAAACUUUUCACGGAACAAAAAUAAAAGAUGCUAACAACUGACAAAAGAAUAAACUUGAAGGAUAAAGAAAAUAUCAAGAAAAACUUCUCUCUCUCUCUGAGGAUGUCACUUUACUCAGCUGCCAUACAAAGCUGGCUUUACCUCGACACCCAAAUUUGGUGAGCCCCCAAAAAAUAUACACAAGGAAAAAGCAGAGACCAGUUGCCAGGAUUGACAUGGACACAGAAAUUGUCUAUAAAUUACAUAGAAAUGGAAUGUGAGCUCAUUUAAUGCCAAGAAUGAAAAACCAUUUCAACCCCUAUGAAUUAAUCAAUGUAAGACACCAAAAAUGUAGACUCAGCGAGAGAAGAAACAUGACUGUCAAUAGAUCCAUGAAAGACCCAGGUCAAAAUAUGACAUUAGCUCCAUAUAAAUGCUCUGAAGAAUGUGAGAACAGAAGCAACAUACCUCAGCAUAAUAAACAGAAUGAGAUACAAACUAAAUACUAUAACAUAAUACUAAAAAAUGACAGCUGGAAUAAUUUUGCUCUAAUCAGAACAGAGAAAGGUGUUCAGUCCCUCCAUCUUAUCUCAACCCAAAGAGUCAGUGAGUAGACAGUUCAAGAAUGACAGAGAAAAAUUUAUAGGAAACAAUAUAGGAGAACGAGAGAAUCAACUGGACCUCCUACAGAAAAAAUAUAAUUCUGCAACUUAAAGACUAUAAAUACCUACAGGAAAGCUCAGAUCUGAUAGCCCUCUCAAUAAGCUACAUAAUCUAUAUUGAUCAUCACUUAGUUGGUUUUUUUGCUCUUGUUUAUUCAUACAAACAAGAAUAUGCUGGAAGUCAACAGACCAUUCACAGUGCCUAGGAAUAUCUUGGAGUCCCUGUUGGUAGCAUUCAGAGAGUCAAAAAACAUGCAAGCUUGGAUUGGGGAGGAAGUUUUCCAUGGCCUACCAGCUUUGCAUCCUGUGUGCUACAAUCCUAACCUCCCAAGGAAGGCAUAUGCAUGGGUGUCAUAGAGACAAGACUAUUUUGUGGGUAACAGAGGCUUUCUGAUUCAAUCUGAGGCUGGCCCACUGAAGUAAAUACAUAGGUGGUAAUAGGAACAUCACCAAAGCCAAUAAUGAGGAAGGAAACAAGCCCUAGAUGGGAAUCAACUAUUGACAUUUUGCUACAUAUACAAAUACUCAAACUGCCUUUAAGUGAUUUUGUUCACUCUAAUAGCCUGGUGAUGCUUUCAGUCUUUAAUUCAAACUAUGAUUUCAAUGGGCAACAGUCAUGUCAGAGGACUACAGAGAGAAAGCCUCUCAAAAGGACAAAAAACAAAGACACCAAAAAACAAACAAAUGUAAAAAUCAAAAUAGUUCCUUAAUCCUAGUAAAUAGCAAUGUUUAAGAAGUGUGUUCUCUCCAGGCAAUGGUGGUGCAGGCCUUUAAUCUCAGCACUCAGCAGGCAGAAGCAGGUGGAUCUCUGUGAGUUUAAGGUCAUUCUGGUCUAUAGAGAGAAAUUCGUCUCAAAAAUAACAGCAACAACAACAAAUCCCCAAGGGCAUACGUGAAUUCACUUUUGAGUACUGAAGAAAAAUGGGGAAGUGUUGACUCCAAGACUACACAGAGAAUCCCUGUCUUGAAAAACAGAAAAAUCAAAUGUCUUUUUCAAGAACUUGGAAUGCUAAAAGCAACAAUAUUCAGAAAAUUGAAGAAUACAUAAAAGACAUGUGAACACUGAAUUACUAACGGCAAGUUCUCAUUCAAACAUAUGAAGAAUAUGAAAGCAUGUUUGUAAGAAUCUAAACUAAAAAAUGCUACAGGUAUUUUUUAACAUAAAAAGUGAAAUCUUCCUAAAAUAUGUAAUAUUGUGCAAAACCAUGAAGAGGUCAAAAAUUUUGAGAAAAGGUUCAAACCAAGAGUUAAUUUUUAAAAUGUUUUAAAAUUAUAGCAACACAAAACAUUAAGAGCUGACAUGAAGACAGAAGAAAUAGGAUAUCAACAGGAACACAAUAUAGAUGGAGUUUAAUACUCUGUAAAGACAUUAAGCAAACCUUUUUUUUCUUUAUUUGUUUUCUGAGACAGGGUUUCUCUACAUAGACUUGGUGCCUGUCCUGGAUCUCGUUCUGCAGACCAGGCUGGCCUCAAACUCACAGAGAUCCACCUGGCUCUGCCUCCCAAGUGCUGGGAUAUAUUAAGCAAAUCUUAUCAAAAUCCUGUUGGCAUUAUUUUAGGAAAUGGAGAAAUUAACCUUAAAUAUAGAGAACAUAAAAGAACUACAAAAUGCUCCAAAACUCUAAGAGCAGGAAAAGCCAAGAGGCAUCAAUUAUUCUAUCUAAACAUUAUAUUAAAAUUAUGAUGAAAACAUUUAAUAUUCAUAUGAAGACAUGAUCAGCAAUGUGAAUAGGAGAGGGACAGCAUCACUCACAUGCAAAGUCUAGUAAAAUUAUAUUUGCUUCUGAGUAUAUUAAUACUUACAUAGAAUACCUACAAUAGGAAUUAAUACCUACAAUAGAAAUAAUCUGAUAUUAUACUCAGUGGAAUUUUUUAGAAACAUUUUAAAUGAAAUAUAGUCUUGCAUUUUCAUGUCCUGUUUCUCCUAUCCCUUGAGCUCCUCCCUAUGACUUCCUUGAUCCUUUGACCAUACCUGGAUUCUUAGCUACUGUUGCUGCUACCUUUUCCAUCCAGGGCUCUUUGUUAUGCUUCAAUGGUGAGCAGAUCUGGUUGAGCAAUGUGAAACCAUAGGAUAAAGAGAUUCUUCAGAAAUCAUCUGGAACUUUUCUUGUAUCAAAAUUAGAAGAUGCAGAACAGCUACCAAGUGAAUAAACAGAAAGGAGAGAGAAAAUAUCACAAAAUGUCUUUUUUCCUCUCAAUAUUUAACUUUCCUUUAUGAGAUGUAAGACUCAUUCAAACAUAGCUUAUAGGCAUGGAGAGAUGUUUUCCCAUGAAUCCUGAGAAGCAGCAAUGGAGACUGCUGGUCACCCACAGAAACCAGACUGUUAUACAAAUCCACGAGAGUCUGUUAAAGGGUAUCAGUAGAUUUAUUAAGAUAUAAAAUGGGGAGAAAUACACUCAUGGAUACAGAACAAAGUAUAAACAGCUGUUGUCAUCCUCAGUUCUGCCCAGGGGAGUAUGUAACCAGUUGUCUGGUCUCCAGCCACCUCAAGAGAGCAUGAGUGCAUGGUCCCUCUUCAGUUUUAAGCAGUCACAUAUCCAGAGAAAACCACACCUCUAUUGGGCCAGAUAUCCCAAGGCCUCUAGUGAGUGAAUUCCCACAUUUCCCCUUUUUGUCUAAAUAAGAAGGUUCUAAACCUAAUACAAAGUUAUAUACAAAAAGAACAAUUAUCAAGUAUUGUCUAGAAGAGAGAAAAGGUAAUAAGAUAAACAAAAAUGGAACUAUACAACCAACAAAAACAACAUCAAGCAAGAAGCAUAUACUAAAUGUUCAGGCCAAAGAUAAUUGGCAAUUUACAGAGAUUACUCCAAUAUCUGUCCUAUUAUGAAGAAUCUAAAUCAUGUACCUGAAAUGUUCUUAGUUAAAAUAUGAGAGGAUUGUAACUAUAAUUACCUAGUCUUCAACCCCAUCAAAGACCUAAGAAGGAAAAUAAUAUUACCUGAGUAAGUUGGAAGUAUAAACAAACAACUUCAAAAACAUGCAAGAUAUGACCGAAACAGCUGGCUGCCUGGACAUUCACCCAAUGUUUCUCUGCAACACUGGGGCAACCACUAUUGGAUACAGGCCUAGAAUAUAUGAGACCAUAUUCAGAAGCAGGAAAUUUUGAAAGACUGUCCUACCCUGUCUUGGCAAGACUUGGCAGUUGCUUUUUCCUUUGUCCUGCUCAUCUGGACUGGAAAGCAUGCUUACUGUCAGCAGGGCAGUUCUUUGCCCAACAGGGCUACUUUUGCCAAGAAGAAGACAAACUCCAUAUGCCCAUCAUCCUCUUGGAAGUAGAUCAGUGCUACCAGGAGCAAUUGUGUCUCAGGUCAACAGAAUUCUAAGUUAUUAAAACAUUUAAAUGCCAUAUUCUCUAGGUCUAUGAAGUGUUUGAAGAUUACCUAUCCAUCUGACGUAUAUUUCUGUAUAUCUAGAAAACAUAACUAACAUGGCUAUAAGUAUGACAAGUAUGGGUGAAUAUUAACCUUUAAUUCUUACCAACCUAAAUAUCUUAAAGACUAAGGCUUGACAUUAUAAAAAUAAUUUGUAGACAGAUGUACAGUAUAAGGACAAUGAUCUCAAAUUUGUGACAAUAUACAAAAAUCUUAAUCAUAGGUAGAAAUGUAUAGUGCAAUAUGACAAUACUUUAAUUUGUAUCAAUAUACAAAAUAUCCUAAAUAGAACUAGAACAUACAAACAGUUUGACAAAAAUAAUUUUACAUUUAUAUCAAUUAUACAAAAAAAUUUUUUGAACAGGAGUAGGAACAUAUGUACAAUAUGACAAAUACAGUUUUGUAUUUGUAUCAAUAUAUAAAUUAUCUUAAACAGGAAUAGAAAAAUAAUUUUACAUUUGUAUCAAUAUACAAGAAUCCAUACCAAGGCAAAUUACCUAAAGCUGAUAGUUGCUAAAUUAGUUUACAAGUAGAUACAAUAAUCUACCUUAUUAUUCUAUUCUAUCUAUUCCCCUUUUCUUUUCCAAAAGAGAUUCCUGAGCCUAAACUCUAUUGUUUCACUCCCAACACUAUUACAACUUAUAACCAACCACUAACACAUGACAAUUAUCCAUAACUCUGAGAAAACAAAAACCUGUUGGGAGAGGGGACGUCUUCUUCUUAGAAAUGCUUCCUGCUAUCUAGGGGGCAAUGGUAUCUCUAUGGGAUCCUGUAAAAAACUAAAACAAUGAUUAAGUCUCAUUAGGACUAGCUAUAUCAUUUGUAGUCAGUCUCAGAGUGAUUGGUAAAGCUUAUCUGAAGUUCUGGCUAGAGGUAAAAAAUAAAAUGGUGGACCAUCUCAGGUGGAACUGUCCUGAACAGUUUGUAGUCCAAUGCUGAUCUUUGAGUAAUGUUUAUUGGAUCAAUGGCAUCAUUACGGACCAGGUAGAAUUGUUAUGCAGCCCCAUCUUCUUUCUAGAUACUUCAGAUAUCACUGUUAUAAAAAUUUAUUGUUCACUAUGGAAAACUUAAACAAUAUUAAUAUCAAAAUGGAAAAUUUAAAUUUUAGGAAAGCACUAUAUAUCUAAAGAAAAUUUCCAAAGAGUCAAGAAUAAGUAUGGGGAGGAAUAGAAUUUUGACAACAAUAGUCCCUAGAUCUUUGGUUUUCUUCUGUCCCACACCAUGUAACUCUUCUAAUAUGAGACAGAAACUCUUAAUUGUUUCUUUUAAAUACAUGCUUGGAUUUAGAGGAGAAGAGAGCCAUGCUCCAAUUCCAAAGCCAGCUUUGAUUUACACUUGAGUUAGGACUACAACUUUUCUUAGAAGUAAAGGAUAUGGAUGUUUAGGUAAUGAGAUUUUACCCUGUAGAGAAUAUUGGUACCAUUAGGUCUGGUUUUUCCUUACUUGGUAAUUUUUUCUGGAUGUCUUUUCUUCUUCUUUAGAUGUCUAGAUAUCCAAGGUUUUUCGAUUUAUUGAAGAUGAGUAUUUCAAUUUUUCUGUAAAGACAAAAACAGAAUCCUGCCCCGACCCUUGUUUGAAAGCCAGAGGCUAUGGAUUUGUUCCAGAUUAAGACACAUCAGGUUUGACCAGCCAAGACCACCUGAAAGGUCUCCGAUGACACCAUGGCCCAGAUGAUCCAACAUCCAGAACCGUUUCAAGGCAACUGGCUCAGAUGAUACAGCCUCACGGACUACUCCAUGAUCCUAAAAUUUUCUUUGUUUCCCCAGAAGAUACAGCGCCCCCCCUCCAGCAGGAAUUAGUAAGAGAAGCUAUGCCCAAAUUCCCAAAUAUACCAAGCUGACUUUGGAGAUGUGUAAAGGUUAAAACCUUCCUUUUUAAGAAAAGAAAAGGGGAAGUGCUGUGGGAUGGUCUGUAUGUCAAAUGUGUUGCUGAUUGGUCAAUGAAUAAAUCACUGAUUGGUCAGUGGCCAGGCAGGAACUAUAGGCGGGACUAACAGAGAGGAAAAUUGAGAGAACAGGAAGCUGGGUGAGAGAGACACUGCCAGCCGCCAUCAGGAUAAGGAAGAUGUAAAGUACCGGUAAGCCACAAGCCACGUGGCAAGGUAUAGAUUAAUAGAAAUGGAUUAAUUUAAGCUGUAAGAACAGUUAGCAAGAAGCCUGCCAUGGCCAUACAGUUUGUAACCAAUAUAAGUCUCUGUGUUUACUUGGUUGGGUCUGAUGGCUGUGAGACUGGCAGGUGAGAGAGAUUUGUCCUGACUGUGGGCCAGGCAGGAAAACUCUAGCAACAUGUGUUGAUCAAUGUGUCAGAUCUUUCUCAUACUAUUGACAUAGAGUCAAUGGAUUCAACCAGGGCCUCUAUUAAGACUGCUAUUUUUUCUUUAAAAACUUAGAAAUGGGGAGAUGUAGAGAACAUAAGAGCCUUGUGCACAUGGAUAAGUACUAGAGAAUCCAGCAAAGUUAAACACACGGCUUACCUCUUCAAUGGAAUGAGGUGCAAAGCUGUUCUUCCUGGAAUGCUAGGAAUUAUGUUGUUUUAGAACCUGGUAACCUUUUGGUAUCUGAUGAGACAGGCUCUGCCUUAUCCCCAAGAAUUUGUUUUUAUUUAUUUGUAGUAGGCAAGGCCCAUAGGGCCAAUUUCCUUGGCCCAAACCGGUUGUCAGGGCAUGCACAGAAUGUACUUCCUUAUGAGCCAACCUGAAGUCUACCUGAGGGCCUAGCAACAGGUGCUGUCAGCAUUCCUGAUCACUGUCAGAGUUCCUGAUUGUGCCCAGCCAAUGAGGGAAGACCAUGCAAUGCCACCAGAUUGAGACACAGCCUGGGUGCUGGGAGGAGGGUAUACAAGGCCUUCCCUGUUAUUGAAUAAACGAUUCUGCUGUUUGCCUUCAA